UUUGGGUUGUUCGCGGCGGGAUAUAUGUGUGUUGGAGCGCCUCUGGGACUCACACUUUGCUUGAAUUCUGUGCCGGAGAAGCAUCCUUUGCGGACGUUUUACACUUACGAGUGCCGUGUUGUAUUGUCUUCUUGCAACCACCAACAACAAACCCCGAGUCAAGAUGUCUUCCCCCAACGCUGCCGCCGACAACAAGUGGCGGUACCAUAAGAAGCCAAUUAAGAAGACCAACAAGAAGCCCAAAUGCAAACAGCCCAAGAAGUGCAGGAAGU